rnacentral:SRP_RNA from 1 species
GCCGGGCGUGGUGGUGCAUGCCUAUGGUCCCAGCUACUUGGGAGGCUGAGGUGGGAGGAUCACUUGAGCCCAGGCAUUCUGGGCUGUAGUGUGCUAUGCCAAUCGGGUGUCCGCACUAAGUUCGACAUCAAUAUGGUGACCUCCCGGGAGUGGGGGACCACCAAGUUGCCUAAGGAGGGGUGAACCGGCCCAGGUCAGAAACAGAGCAGGUCAAAACUCCCAUGUUGAUCAGUAGAGGGAUUGCGCCUGUGGAUCUGUGAGUAGCCACUGCACUCCAGCCUGGGCAACAUAGUGAGACACCGUCUCU